rnacentral:sRNA from 1 species
UGACUUUGCUGGACCUUUCAUGAUUAGU